GGGGGGAUAUUGCACAAUGGGCGAAAGCCUGAUGCAGCGACGCCGCGUGGAGGAUGAAGGCUUUCGGGUUGUAAACCUCUUUCGCUAUCGAACAAGGCCCGCUUAGGGUGGGUUGAGGGUAGGUGGAGAAGAAGCGCCGGCUAACUACGUGCCAGCAGCCGCGGUAAUACGUAGGGCGCGAGCGUUGUCCGGAAUUAUUGGGCGUAAAGGGCUUGUAGGCGGCUUGUUGCGCCUGCUGUGAAAACGCGGGGCUUAACUUCGCGCGUGCAGUGGGUACGGGCAGGCUUGAGUGUGGUAGGGGUGACUGGAAUUCCAGGUGUAGCGGUGGAAUGCGCAGAUAUCUGGAGGAACACCGAUGGCGAAGGCAGGUCACUGGGCCAUUACUGACGCUGAGGAGCGAAAGCAUGGGUAGCGAACAGG
rnacentral:rRNA from 1 species